rnacentral:rRNA from 1 species
AGUGAACGCUGGCGGUAGGCCUAACAUAUGCAAGUCGAACGGCAGCACAGUAAGAGCUUGCUCUUACGGGUGGCGAGUGGCGGACGGGUGAGGAAUACAUCGGAAUCUACUUUUUCGUGGGGGAUAACGUAGGGAAACUUACGCUAAUACCGCAUACGACCUACGGGUGAAAGCAGGGGAUCUUCGGACCUUGCGCGAUUGAAUGAGCCGAUGUCGGAUUAGCUAGUUGGCGGGGUAAAGGCCCACCAAGGCGACGAUCCGUAGCUGGUCUGAGAGGAUGAUCAGCCACACUGGAACUGAGACACGGUCCAGACUCCUACGGGAGGCAGCAGUGGGGAAUAUUGGACAAUGGGCGCAAGCCUGAUCCAGCCAUACCGCGUGGGUGAAGAAGGCCUUCGGGUUGUAAAGCCCUUUUGUUAGGAAAGAAAAGCAGCAGGUUAAUACCCCGCUGUUCUGACGGUACCCAAAGAAUAAGCACCGGCUAACUUCGUG